UGCUGGGCACCUCCGCACCUGGGGCUGCCGGUGGGAGGAACAGAAGGGGGGCUGGAGCUGGCUGGUCCCAUUUGCUGCGGCGUCUACAAGAAAGGAAGAGGAAAAGCCCCGGGAUGCGUCGCGCUCCCCGCGGACAUGGCGACCGGCUCUGCUCAACCACCCGCCAACUACCCCACUACCACCUUCCCGUCACUUCCGCCCCCAACGCCCUCACGCACAGCCCCUUCCGGUUGUGAAGAAAAGCUGUUCCGGUAGAAGCGUCGGUUCCAAUUGGACUCUUGUGGAUUUCGAGGCGUCUGGCGUUAUCGGAGACAGUCCAGCCACGUCCUCUGGCCAAGGAGAGAGGACGCCGAAGCCCGCAACUUUGGCCCGCUUCACGUUUCGGCUACCUGUUUAGGAAAAGGCAAAUGGUUCAUCCCAAAGGUCAUGUGGAGAAUUUCUCCGGUGGUUUUACGUCUGUGUGCCAACCACUGAUUUCAAAGCGGGGCUUCGGGGGCGCGCCGCGAGGGGGCGCCGGCGCCCGGGCGGGAGAGCGGAGGUGAGGGGCGGGUGAGGGGCUCGGAGUGGGCCGUGACCGCUGACUGACCCCGUUGGCAGGUCUUGGAACUGUGAGGAGACUCUCUUCAGUGGAUAGCCCGCAGCGCUGUCUUUCUAGUGUGUUUUUCUAAAGAAUGUCAGAUUAAGAGAUCCCUGGGUGGCUCAGAGAUUCAGCGCCUGCCUUCGCCCCGGAGCAUGAUCCUGGAGUCCCAGGAUCGAGUCCCACGUCCGGCUCCCUGCAUGGAGCCUGCUUCUCCCUCUGCCUGUGUCUCUGCCCCUCUCUCUCUCUCUCUCUCUCUGUGUGUCUCUCAUGAAUGGAUAAAUAAAAUCUUAAAAAAAUAAAAAUAAAAAAAAGAAGAA